GUUCAGCUAACGAGUCCCAAAUAGGACGGGACGCAUGUCCUGGAU
rnacentral:hammerhead_ribozyme from 1 species